rnacentral:rRNA from 1 species
GAGUGAACGCUGGCGGUAGGCCUAACACAUGCAAGUCGAACGGCAGCACAGUAAGAGCUUGCUCUUACGGGUGGCGAGUGGCGGACGGGUGAGGAAUACAUCGGAAUCUACUUUUUCGUGGGGGAUAACGUGGAAAACUUACGCUAAUACCGCAUACGACCUACGGGUGAAAGCAGGGGAUCUUCGGACCUUGCGCGAUUGAAUGAGCCGAUGUCGGAUUAGCUAGUUGGCGGGGUAAAGGCCCACCAAGGCGACGAUCCGUAGCUGGUCUGAGAGGAUGAUCAGCCACACUGGAACUGAGACACGGUCCAGACUCCUACGGGAGGCAGCAGUGGGGAAUAUUGGACAAUGGGCGCAAGCCUGAUCCAGCCAUACCGCGUGGGUGAAGAAGGCCUUCGGGUUGUAAAGCCCUUUUGUUGGGAAAGAAAAGCAGCAGGUUGAUACCCCGCUGUUCUGACGGUACCCAAAGAAUAAGCACCGGCUAACUUCGUG